UACAGAGGGGGCAAGCGUUAUUCGGAAUUAUUGGGCGUAAAGGGCGCGUAGGCGGCCUUCUAAGUCAGACGUGAAAUCCCCCGGCUUAACCUGGGAACUGCGUCUGAUACUGGGAGGCUAGAGUAUGGGAGAGGGAUGUAGAAUUCCAGGUGUAGCGGUGAAAUGCGUAGAUAUCUGGAGGAAUACCGGUGGCGAAGGCGGCAUCCUGGACCAUUACUGACGCUGAGGCGCGAAAGCUAGGGGAGCAAACGGG
rnacentral:rRNA from 1 species